AAAUAUUGAAGUUACGGUGUACAUUUGGUUGAAAAGCCAUUUGAAUGGUCCCGGUGAAGUUCGGUGAAGUUCUGGAGCAAUCGGGCGUUUCGAUGCGCGUAGGUGCGAAAACGGAACCCGAAAGGUUAUGUUGGACCAUGAGCUAAAUCCAGCAUUAACGUGGAUGAAACGAUGAUGAAAAUACGCUCGAAAACAUGUUUGGAGAGUCUCGGUUCGAUUUGAAACGAAUCGGAUGUCAAACGAGCGAAAACGAGCGAAAACGGUGAAAAAAAGUUGAAAAUUUGGCUAAGUCCUAAAUGCUGGAAUUCUGGACCCUACGGGGACCGGUCCCUCAAGUCCAAGGACCGGUCCCUGAGCCCGAAAAAUGCCCAGAAUGAGCAGUGGCAGUUUGGUAAUUAGGGGAAAGUUGGCAUAUAUGAAGGGCUUUGCCCCUACUCCUUCUUCCUCCUCAUUCCAACACACACACACACAUAUACUGGUAGAGAGAGAUGCUCUCUCCUCUCUCUCUAGGAGCUCUCCCUCUCUCUCUAAGAGUGGAUUUAGGAGAAGAAGGUCGAGAUUGGAGCUUGGAGAAGGACCAACAUCAUCUUCUUCAUCUUCUUGCUAGCUAGUUGAGGUAAGCUCUUUGAGUCUCUCAUGGUAAAUGGCUAGAGCAUGGCUUAGACCUCUUUGAACUUAGCUAGAUGAUGUUUAUUGGUGCUCUAAGAGUAGUUGAUCUCAUUUAUUGUGAGAUUAGUAGCUUGUAUGAAGCUAAUUGCAACAAUGGUGAUUUAGGGCUCCAAAAAGAGGGCUUUUGCUUGUGAGGGGUUUUGAUCUCAAUUGACCCUAUACAAACCUAAUUGGGGGUAUGACGAACGCGUUGGUGCACUCGGUUCGACAAUCUGACCAGUGUACGAGAAGUUAUUGACGAAACAGUCUGUUUUGGUACAGAGAGUCGCAGCACGCGGGAUAAGCCUCCAAAAAUCAUGAAAAUGGAUCGAGAGCAUUGUGGCGUCGGGGAAUAAACUCCCGAACAGACGGAUCACGGAUUGGUGGCCGUUCGGGUGGUCGCACAAAAGUUCGGGCCAAACCGGGUCACCGGUGCCGCGGGAGACCGAUUGCAAGUGACUACAAGCAAUUGGAACGCGGUAAAAGGUGUGUUGUGCUUACCGAAGCGACUAGGUCGCCUUCAUGCCAAAGUAUAAUGUAUUUCACUUUUGAUGCAUGGUGGUGAUAAGAAUGCUAUAUAAGAAUGCAUGAUAAGAAUGCUAUGUAAGAAUGCAUGAUAAGAAUGCUAUGUAAGAAUGCAUGAUAAGACUGCUAAGAAAUGAAUGCAUGUGAUAGAUGUUAAGUAAUGCAUGUAAUAUGUGCCAAGUAACGAAUCAUAUGAGAUGUAUGCUAAAGAAUGCAUGUUGACAUAUUAUAGAAAUGCUAGAUGAAGCAUGUGUUAAAUGUUAAAGGCAUGUAUGAGAUGUAUGUUAAAUAAACAUAUGAGCUAGAUGAUGUAUAAAUGCAUGAUUUCAUAAUGUAAGAAUAUGUUAGAAUGAUAUGAGGGUUGAACUUGAGUCAAUGAACACUAAGUAAAGUAAAGAACUCGACAAGUGUCAUAUGUAAAGAAUCCUAAGUAUAAAUAACUAGGAUGACGAGUGGCAUUGAACCUAGUGUCAUUGAACAUAGGUUAUUCACGAGUGGCAUGUCAAGUAUGGUUCCUAGGUGUGGACAACUAGGAUAACAAGAACAUGAGUGGCAUUAAACCUAGAGUCAAGUAAACCUAGGUUGUGAAUGUAGUGACAUGAAACCUAGAGUCAAGUGAACCUAGGUGAUUAAGAAUAUUGAACCUAGUGUUAAUGAACCUAGGCUAAGAAGGUAAUGACAUUGAACCUAAUGUAUUAACUUAGGUUGAGUAAAGGCUUGGACCUAGAUAGGUCGAUAACAUAGGGUGAGACCAACCCUCGAGUAAUGUGAAGUGGAUUCCGGAAUCCCUGCUGCUAGUGCAGCGGCUGCUAGUGCAGCAUACAAGCUCGAUAGUUCUUGGCCGCGGGUGCAUGUGGCAUGUUCCUCUCCCACCGGAAGAACUUCGAGGCUUGUUAAUGAGCAAGAACAAUGAGCGCUAGGGUGCAUGUGGCAUGUUCCUCUCCCUAUCGGGGAUCUCGGCUGCGGGUGUAUGCGGCAUGUUCCUCUCCCAUCGGGGGAUCCCUGACCACGGGUAUACGCAGCUCUGGGCGACCCGUUGGGCGAUGUGGUUUGUGGAUUGAUGGCUGAGGUGCAUGUGAUAGUCCCUUCAUCUCGAGCCUGACAGAGCGCGGAUUAUCCGCAUAUGAUUGACUCAAGACCGAGUCGGGCGGCAAAGUUGGCUAAGGUAAAGAAACUUUAGGAAAGAAUGGCAAUGUGUAUAAUAUGGCUAAGGUGUGAGUACCCUUAGAAUAAAGAAUAAAUAAAAAAAAAGGGCUAACGCUAAAGAAUGGCAAGUAAUAAAGAAUAAAGAAAGACAAAUGCUAAAGAAUAGCUAGUAAAAUAAAGAAUGACUAAAAGUAAAGAAUGGAUAAGAAUAAAGUGUAAAAGCAAUUAAUCUACUAUAUGAGUUGCAUAAUUUACAUAUUGCAUGUUGUGAGGCAAAAGCAUGGUAAUGUUAGUUGCAUGAUUUACGAUUUCAUAUCUAUCUAUUGGACUAACAUGUUGUCUGCCUCCUUUGGACCUGACGGUCGAGCUCUUCCCUUGGGUGGCCGUACCCACUGGGAACCAUGGAGUUGGUUCUCACCCCACGUUGUUUUGGGGUGUUACAGGUUCACACGUGAGCGGCGUGGCGGCGCGAGGCAAAGGCGUAGCUCCGUAGUUAGCGCCCUAGCACUGAGACCAGAUAGCAGCACCCUGAGUCGACUUCUUAGGGGUAUAAAUUGCAAAGAACCAAGAGUAUGAUGAUUGUAAGAACAAUGUUGUAAUGACUAUAUUAAAACUAAAUUAUAUUUGGAAGUAAGAAUCAAGGAAUCAAAUAUGAUGUAAUCUAAGAAUGCAAAAUGUAAUAUGUGAGAUGAAUGCUUGUAAUAGCAAGUAGAUUUAUGUUUUUGAUACUUCCUUAUGCAAUCCUUGGUUGAAAUGUGUUCCUGGUUGGAACUUCGUAUAUUGUAUUGAUUGCGACGCCUUGAAUGUACAGGGGAGACUCUGUCCGCGGUACAGGGAAAAUCCUGUCCGUUCGGCGGUCUGUUGGCGUGUCCGAAACGGACCAAAUAGUCGGGCUCGGGGCGUGACAGAUAAGAUGGUAUCAGAGCAUAAAAAGAACAUAGAAAGAACAUAAAAAGAACAUAAAAGAGUAUAAAGAAAAUAGUUUAGCUUGACCUAAGGAUAGUAAACCAUAGGAUAUUAAGGCUUGUGUGAGACGAGGACUUGUGACUUGUGGUGAAAGGAUAAUGGAUUGGGUUACGUCGUAAACCUCUAAAAGGGAGAUUAGAGGUAGAUUCAAGGUGUGGUUUAUUCUCAACCAAGUGUGUUCAUGUUGGGCGUACGACAACAUGAAACCGAGUGAUGAGGAUAGAUGCCCUUGUAUGACUUUCGCCCGAUUUGAGUCAAUAUUAAAUGUUUCAUACUCGACCUCGAAGGUUGAGAAUUAAUCGAGUUGUCAUGUUUUAGGGAACGAUGGCACCGCGUAGACGAUCAUCGGCUAGAUCGACGCAGGAUGGGGCAAGUGAUGUCCCUGAGCAACCCAGAGCAAGUGGAGACUCGGAGCUCCGCGCACAGUUGGGAAUGUUGGUGGGCAUAGUGCAGCGUCAGCAGGAGGCUGCCAUGCGCCAGGAAGAACGGAUCAAGAGACUUCAGAAGACCGUGGAGCAGCUAGUUGCUGCGCCAGUUGCAGCUCGUCGAGGACUGGCAGGGCUUGCCGCAGAGAUGGUUCCGUCGGGGUCGGGCGAUCCAACUCCCGAAAGUGCAUUGGCGGAGGCGGAGAAAGAGCGGGCUAUGGCAGCCCUCAUGACCUUCGUAAAGUUUGAUCCGCCUACCUUCGAUGGAGAGAAUGUUGAUCCCUGGAUUGUGGAUAUGUGGAUUGACUCUAUGGAGACGCUCUUUGAGGAGCUGUACAUAUUGGAGCGGGACAAGGUGCCCCUAGCUAUGCAUUGCUUGAAGCGAUUGGCGGCCCUCAUGACCUUCGUAAAGUUUGAUCCGCCUACCUUCGAUGGAGAGAAUGUUGAUCCCUGGAUUGUGGAUAUGUGGAUUGACUCUAUGGAGACGCUCUUUGAGGAGCUGUACAUAUUGGAGCGGGACAAGGUGCCCCUAGCUAUGCAUUGCUUGAAGCGAUUGGCGAAGGUGUGGUGGAAAGGCAUUCGGCGGAAUCGAUCGCCUAGUCUUCCUCCCAUGACUUGGGAAGAGUUUCGGGGAUUGUUAUUUUCUACGUAGUUCCCCGAUAGUGAAAAGAGAAAGCUUCAGGACAAGUUCAGGAAGCUGCGGCAAGGAGACCGCUCGUUGCGUCCCGGAUGUGGUACGGGAUGACAAGGAUAUGGCCGAUUGGUUCUUACGUGGACUUCGACCAGAUAUUUACGAGAAGGUGCAAAUCCUCAAGCUCACAACCUUCGCGGAGGUGUUAGACCGAGCCUUGUGGGCGAGCAUGGCGAGGCUUUCGUGCAUGAGGAGCGCGAGUCUCAUAAGCAUGAGCGGGGAGGGGUGAGGCCACUGUCGAACAGUUCGGGUAGGCAGUCAAGUUCUAGGCGCCACUCGAAGCCGUCCUCUACUCGAUCCUCCCUAGGUUGUGUGAUUUGUGGUGGUACCCACCAGGCGCGGCGGUGUGCGUUGCGUGAUGGAAGAUGUAUCCGUUGUGGGCAGCCAGGCCAUAUGCGGGACCAGUGUCCGCAAGGUGAUAGCCGAGCCUUGGCAUUGGCGACGGCUUUUUCCUCUCCGGGACAGCCGGCGGGUGUGCCACCUGCGGCACGAUCGGGAGAGCGAGCGAUGACGGUGAUGCAACUGAGGGGUCCGCGGCGGGCGCCAAGUGGCUAUGGACACGCGACCCAGGUUGAGGGACCUACUGCUGACGGCGUCAUGGCAGGUAUGGUUUAGUUAAUGCAGUUAUGUGUUUCUGCAUGAUGUAAAGUGGUGCAUUGCAUGCAUUGAGCAUAUAGUCACUUACUACUAUAUGUAGUAGUAUAGUAGGGACCAAGUGGACGGGUAAAUGUAGAUACCCGGGCAUGCUCGUGUUGUGAGAGCGUAGUACCUACUAGUGCAGGUAGCGAGCUAUGUAGCACUAGCGAGUUGCUAGUGAUGGUCUGAUGAUGAGACUCGUAGUAGAGAUGGAAAUGAUGGACCGACUCGCAAAGCAAUGUGUGUAGCAGAUUGUGUGAGUUGAGUUACGAUGCUGGUGGAUACUCGAGCAGUUCGAGUAUUCCAGAUGUUGUUUCGGUAGAUCGAACAGUGAAAGUGAAUCACUGUUGAGUGAGUGGUUAGUUAGUACCCAAGUUUGGCCUGUGGGCCUAGUUGUACCUCAAUGUGAGGUAGGAGAAUGUGCUUGGUAGACGAUGUGCGGCGGCAAGAUUGUCCAAAGCCGAGACUUAGUGUAGAAUGCCAUCGUAGAGUACGACGCCCGAGUACAGGUACUCGCGGAGUGCGAAUAUGGAUCAGCCGAGUGAGUUUGUUGGCAGUAGCACUUGGGCAUUGCGAAGUGUGAAGCGUGCCUUGUGUAACAUAUGGCAUCCUGGAGCUGCGAUGUAAACUUUGAUCUAUUGGAUCAAAGUGAGAAUUGAGCUGGUUGGACGUCAUCCCCGAGUGACUUUGGACGCGUGAGAAUGAAUUCCGAUGAUAAGUAAGUGUUUCGGCGCAAAGUGGGCGCGAAACNGGUAUACCAUUUGGGUUCAUGUAUCAUCUAUUUCGAUGUACAGAGACAUGUAAAUGAAUGUAUUAUAAAGCAUGUAACUAGCUAAAUGUUUCAGUUAUACAGUUCAGUUUGAAAGUUUUAAGUUACAGUGAAUUUCAUUGUACAGUUAGUUUACUAUCACUUGUGUUUGUUGCUUGCCUUCGUGCAAGCCAUGUAUAUUGAAAUGUGAUCCUGGGAAUUAUUUAUUUCUUUAUACAUGUACUCGUUGUUGUUGAGCCUUGGGCGAACAGGGGAGGUGCUGUUCGUUCGGCGUCUGUGCGCGGGCCCAGAUCGACCAAAUUGGCGACCGCGGGACGUGACACCUUGGAUCACUCGUGGGGCUGGUGGCUCACACUAGGUGCAUAGGAGCCGAUAGUGGUACGUAUUGCUCGAUAGAGCAUGUAGUGCGAUUGACAGUAUGCUGAGAGUACGAAUUGUGACCCAACCCGAGAAUUUAAUGCUCUUUGGGGUCUUGGUUGCUCCUGGUUGGAGUGUGUGCGAAUUUCCAAGUGAGAAUUUCGCCCCAAUUAUGAUUGGGUCUACGCUUGCGAGCGAGAGGCGCUGCGCAUACGUUAAGACAGGUUUAGGCGGUAGGCCUAUGUAGUAUUGGUGGCCCUUGGUCUACCAAGGAAAAUCGAGGAAAGUGAUUUGGCGAGUAGCCUUAUCGGGGAGUUUGACUUGAGUUCACGAACGACGUGUUCAUGUGAGUCGUUGUGAAAGUGGUAUGAUGUUGACCGUGGCAUAUGGUAUUAGGUAAUGAGGUGCUCCUGGUGAGGCCUUGAGCUAAUGGCCAGCCACGUAGAGUUCGAGAAUUGGAAUUGGGAUGCGCCGAGGUGGGCCAUCUCACGUCAAAGUUAAAGGUUAGUGCGGAAUUAGAGCACUUACGAUGAAGCGAUGCACCGAUGAUAUUGCUUUUAGGCAAUGUCGGUGAUUGAUUUGGAACGCAUUCCCUGAAGGGAAAGUAAAUGCAAAGAAGGUUUCUUGCAUGCCAAGUGACAAGUGGGGUUGGAGCGCAUAGAGUCGUCGAGUUUCGACUUGCGUUACCACCUAGAGUGACGGAGACCGUAAUGCACUUUGUGAGAUGUGCCUUGCAAAGUUGGAUGCGUUUGGUGUUAUGAACUUCGUAGUAGUCCUCUUGGAUAGUUCCAAAAAGUGUAAAGCCAUUCCGAAGUGAAAAAGUGCUUUGGUGCCCUCAAUUGCUCGAGGAGCUAAAUUGAGGUGUGUUUUGAAUUUCGCGGACGAAAUUCUUUUAAAGGAGGGGAGAAUGUAACAUACCGAACAUCUAAAACUUUGAAGUUACGGUGUACAUUUGGUUGAAAAGCCAUUUGCAUGGUUCCGGUGAAGUUCGGUGAAGUUCUAGAGAAAUCGGGCGUUUCGGUGCGCGUAGGUGCGAAAACGGAACCCGAAAGGUUAUGUUGGACCAUGAGCUAAAUUCGGCAUUAGCGUGGAUGAAAAGAUGAUGAAAAUACGCUCGAAAACAUGUUUGGAGAGUCUCGGUUUGAUUUGAAAUGAAUCGGAUGUCAAACGAGCGAAAACGAGCGAAAACGGAGCGAAAACGGUGAAAAAAAGCUGAAAAUUUGGCUAAGUCCUAAAUGCUAGAAUUCUGGACCCUACGGGAAUCGGUC
rnacentral:lncRNA from 1 species